rnacentral:rRNA from 1 species
AUGGGCCCCAACCCGUCGCCCAGUCCCAUCACGCGCGUGGCCUGUCAGGCCCCUCCGACUUCCGGGAACCACGUGGCGCCCACGCGAAGCCCGAGGGAUUGCCCCAAGAUUCAGCAGACUCCUCGGUUCCCGCCACGGUCGGGAUGCUACGAUCCGGUUUCUGAGAAAACCGGCACAGAGUGGGUGUUGCCGGACCCGGCGCUCGCAGAAUCCGCCUUGCUUAAGGGGGAAAGUGCGAAGGCCCACUCAUCCAAAGACGGCGGACCUUCACAGCUUCGGGGACUACUGUCGGGGGGAUGGACCCCGGGCAGGCAACGGAACCCGGAUCCUCUUCAAAAACAACGGGGCUAG